UACGGAGGGGGCAAGCGUUGUUCGGAAUUACUGGGCGUAAAGCGCACGUAGGCGGCUUGUUAAGUCGGGGGUGAAAUCCUGGGGCUCAACCUCAGAAUUGCCUCCGAUACUGGCAGUCUCGAGUGCGGGAGAGGUGAGUGGAAUUCCCAGUGUAGAGGUGAAAUUCGUAGAUAUUGGGAAGAACACCAGUGGCGAAGGCGGCUCACUGGCCCGUAACUGACGCUGAGGUGCGAAAGCGUGGGGAGCAAACAGG
rnacentral:rRNA from 1 species